AGCUAACAAUAAGAACAGACAGGGAGUGAAGGGAGUGAGUCCAUUAUAUAGGGAGUGCUGAUGAGGAAGUCCAGGUGCAGGUGAUGAGUGCUGAUGGGGAGAUGACGAGGGAAGUGAGUGCAGGUGUGGAGACAAGAGGAACAUGGGAAAUGGAGUCCGGGAGACAAGGGAACUGUGACAGUAGUACAUUACUGUACUCACAAAUAAAUAAUUACUGUGUUUGACAAAUAUGUUUAAAAAUAUCUACUUUCAUGAUACUAUAGUCAUUUUAGGGGCUUAAAAAAAUCUUUUAUUUUUCAUCCUUGUGGUGGCCACCAUGUUGAGAUCACAUGACCAGCUGAAUGCUGCUCACUUUAUCUUGGUCACAUAUUAUCAGAAACAUUCACCUUAUGUAAAUUAAUCAUGUAUGAGAGUGAAUAGAUUAUUUCUACAGCGGCACUGAAAGCUGAAAAUGCUUCAUCCACACUGACAGAUGUUCAUAUAAAGUCAAAGACUAGUGUCUUAUCAGUCUGCAAAACAUAAAAAAAAAAAAAAAAAAAAAAAAAACAUUUUAUAAUUCAAAUUAAAAAUAUUUUACAAUAAUUAAUAUUUACAAUUAUUACAAACAACAUCAAUCUGUAAAAUCUUAGGUUGCACUUUAUUUCGAUGGUCCACUUUUGAUAUUCUACUAACUAUAAGUAACUUGUCAACUACAUGUCAACUAACUCUCAUUAGUGUAUUAGUAGACUGUAGUAGACUGUUAGGUUUGGGUUCAGUUAAGUAGAAUAAGUUGACAUGUAGUUGUAAAGUUACUUUCAGUCAGUAGAAUGUCUAAAGUAGACCACUGAAAUACCAAAUCUUAUAUGUAGAGAGUUUGUUAGUUUGUUAGCAGCACACACUGUCGUAAAUCCUGCCCACUUCUUUGCAUUGUCACACAUGCUUCAGUGCUCUGAGAGUGUUUAUAGUGCUGUGAGUUUAACACUUCAUGACUGAGAGCAGAACAGAACACAAUCUUCAUCAUCACACAAGACAAAAGAACAACAAUGAACACAAUCACAUUCUUCAUCUGGACUCUCACACUGUUUAUUCAAGAAUCCAGAGGAGUGACUCUGACUCAACCUGAAGUUAAAACUGUCCAACAGGGUCAAACAGCUACAAUAGAGUGUCAUAUAGAUGUAGGAAUAUACAGUGAUCGUUUAGCCUGGUAUCAGCAGAAACCUGGAGAAGCUCCUAAACUCCUGAUUUAUUAUAUAAACACCCUCCAGUCAGGAACUCCAUCUAGAUUCAGUGGCAGUGGAACAGCAAAUACUGGACGAGAUUUCACUCUGACCAUCAGUGGAGUCCAGACUGAAGAUACAGGAGAUUAUUACUGUCAGAGUGAACACAGCAUCAACAGUAACUGGGUGUUCACACAGUGAUAAAGAGUGGUACAAAAACCUCGGUCAGUCAGACGUCACAGUGAUGCACUGAUACAGCUGAGAGAUACUGCAGCUGCUGAUGGAGGAUCACAAACAAUGGUGUAUUCAACCUUUCAGAAACUUCAUUUAUUUAUUAUGAUGUACUAAGUAAACAUGUGACAUUCUAAUUUUACUCACACUAAUUUUGUACUUAAUAUACUGAAAAUUCUUUUUUAGUACUUCUUAAGAUAAUCUUAAGAACAUCUAAGUGUACUCAACUGUUAUUUUGAGACACCAUGAAUUUGAACUAAAAUGUGCUUUUAACAUACUAUCUCUGUAUUCAAAACAUGUAUUUAGUUACCGCUUGUAGUACAUGUGAACCUAUAUAUAUAUAUAUAUAUAUAUAUAUAUAUAUAUACCAAAAGCUCCACUACCAAGUAAAAUUCCUAGUGUGUGCAAUAACACUUGGCAAUAAAGCUGAUUCUGACUGUAAACAAACUCUCAGCUAACAGGGAACGUUUUGGCAAGAUUCUCUCAUAGUUAUGAACAAACAUCUUCCAGUAACGUUAAUAGAAUAUUCGUUUAAAGUAAUCUGGUCUUUAAUAACUUUAUUUAUAUAUGGUGUUUUUUUUUUCUGAAUCAGUUUUGUUUGAUUUUUAAAGGUUGCUACUUGUUUCAGAACAUCAAAAGAACAUUUAAAAGUGACGUUCCCAUAAUGUCUGAAGAAUGAUAAAAUGAAAUGUUCUCUUAACAUUUUUAAAACAUUUAAAAAACUGGACGUUUUUAACCAGAUUAUUUAGAAAUAAUGUUUUCAUAACUUAAUGGGAACAUUAGCAAAACAUUCUUUUUAACAUUUUAACAUCUUUUUAACAAUUAUUCAGUAAGCUGGAAUUGUCAAGUGCUUACUUGCAGAUGCCAGUGGCACAGGAGUCGAGGAAAUUACUCAUCAUAUCCACUCAAAAAGGGUUAUUUUGCUAUAACCGUUGACCCUUUGGGAUUGCCCCGGCCCCUGCAUUAUUUCAGCAAUGGAUCAAGUUUUCUUGGGGAUUCCAAACACUCACUGCUAUCUAGAUGAAAUACUGGUAACAGGACGAGAUGAUGAGGAACACCUCAAGACACUAGACCAAGUACUCACUAGACUGGAGAAAUAUAGUCUGAAAUUGCAGCGUGAAAAAUGUGAAUUUUUCAGACAGUCACUGGAGUAUCUGGGUCACUGCAUCGACGCAGCUGGAAUACACAAAUCACCGGAAAAGAUCAAAGCAAUUAAGGAAGCACCUGCACCAACCAGUACGGAAGACGGUUUACCCUCCUUACAGGUCAUCAACCUCUAACUGCUAUUCUUAGUCCCAACAAGAGCAUUCCACCUAUGGCAGCAGCCAGAAUGCAACGAUGGGCUUUGCUAUUAUCUGCCCAUGAUUAUAUCCUUGAGUAUAAGAAAGCAGCUUUACAUGCCAAUGCAGACGGACUGUCAUGGCUGUGAAUACCAGUGACACACACUGAGAAAAUGGACACGGUGGAUGUGUUCUAUGCUGCCCAUGUAGCCACCCUGCCUGUCAGAAGUGCUGAAAUUAGGUGUGACACCCUAACGGACCCCACUUUGUCACCUGUGCUGGACAUGGUUUCAACUGGACAGUUCCCAAAAUCUAAAGAAGUACCCACAGACUUGCAACCUUUUGUGACGCGUCGCCACGAGCUCACAGUCAUUCAAGGAUGUUUAAUGUGGGUUUAAUGUUAGUCGUGUCGUUGUACCUAAAAAAACUACCGAGUGUUAACUGAUCUGCAUAUGAGCCAUCCUGGGGUGGUAAGGGUGAAAUAUCUGGCCCGUAGCUACGUUUGGUGGCCAGGUAUUGAUGGACAGAUUGAGUCUCAGUCCAAAUCAUGCCAGUCUUGUCAGCGUAUCCAAAGUGCCCCCUGUUCUGCACCACUUUACCCAUGGAUUUGGCCAGCUCAUCCUUGGGAAAGGAUAAAUAUGGAUUUUGCUGGUCCCUUUGAAGGCCAUAUGUACUUGAUUGUAGUUGAUGCGCACUCCAAAUAGCCUGAAGUUUCCAUUAUGGACAGUACUACCACAAGCAAAACCAUUCAGGUCUUACGAGGGCAUUUCAGUCAUUAUGAUGUCCCUAAUAUCAUUGUCAGAGACAACACCCCACAGUUAUUUGCUGAGGAGUUUUUAAUUUUCCUGAAGGCAAAUGGGGUGCAACAUAUCCGUUCUGCGACCUAUCACCCCUCUAGUAAUGGACAAGCUGAGCGUUUGUCCAAAUCCAACAGAGACUUGAUGGAUUUCUGUUAACAUACAGAAACACUCCACAUGCUACUACAAAAGAGCCACCUGCAAUGAUAUUUCUCAAUCGCAAGCUAAGAACACAGCUGGAUCUUCUAAAACCUAGUCUCGCCAAAAUCGUGAGACAGUCCCAGGAUGCUCAGCAGUUACGACGCCAAGAACACUCUUGUUGAGAGAAUUCAUGGAUCCUGGUUCGUUCUACAGAAACAGAGAAAAAUGGAUACCUGGAGUGGUCGUCAACAUGGGUGCGGCUGGAACCUGGAAACGUCAUGUAGAUCAACUACUGAAACAAGGGACUCAAUCCUCUAAAACCCAGAUGGAACCAGAAGUUCCUGCUUAUUCUGAUAGUUCACAGGCACAUCUGCUUCAGGAGAACGCCGGGGAAAAGACUGACAAUCUUAUGGAUGUGAUAACUGACAAAUCAGGGACUGGCAACACUGACAAAUCACCUUCGGGGACUGUACAAACGAGAGAGGCUAUUAAGCAUCAUCCUAACUGUCUUACUUGGACACCUGACCGUUAUCAAGCAUCCUAAUGUGUAUGUAUGUUAAAGGAAGAGAUUCAUAUGGAGUAGUUUGAGUAAGACGUGCUUGCUAAACUGUGGUUAAAGUUGAAUUUAAGAAAAGAAAUACCCCCUUGUUGUGUAUGAUCACUUUUGAUUUAAGUUGGGAGGAAAUGUUAUGUAUUUAGUGUUAGAAACUGGGUUAUCCUGCAAUUGUUGUCUUAUGCUGUAGAUGGCGCUGUGUUAUGGCGUAUACCUCUCUCAUGGAAAGUAAAAGUUGAGUUGUAAGUGCCCUCGGCCUCGGCCUCCAUCGUGUUAUUGCUAUCUAUAGCUCCAUAAAAUAUAAUGAUAUUCUGAUAGACACAACAGCAGCACACGCUGUUGUAAAUCCUGCCCACUUCUUUGCAUUGUCACACAUGCUUCAGUGCUCUGAGAGUGUUUAUAGUGCUGUGAGUUUAACACUUCAUGACUGAGAGCAGAACAGAACACAAUCUUCAUCAUCACACAAGACAAAAGAACAACAAUGAACACAAUCACCUUCUUCAUCUGGACUCUCACUCUCUGCAUUGAGGAGAGCUGGGGACAAGUGACAGUGACUCAGAAUCCAACAAUAAAAUCCAUCAAACAAGGAGAAACUGUUACAAUCAGCUGUAAAACCAGUCAGCCGAUUUCUGGCUGUAAUGACUGUGUGUCUUGGUAUCAGCAGAAACCUGGAGAAGCUCCUAAACUCCUCAUUUAUUGGAUAAGAAGCCUUCAGUCAGGAACUCCAUCUAGAUUCAGUGGCAGUGGAUCUGAC